UGCUAAUACCCGAUGUGCCUUAUGGUGAAAGAUUUAUCACCUCAAGAAGGGCUCGCGUCCGAUUAGCUAGUUGGAGUGGUAAGAGCACACCAAGGCGACGAUCGGUAGCUGGUCUGAGAGGAUGACCAGCCACACUGGGACUGAGACACGGCCCAGACUCCUACGGGAGGCAGCAGUGGGGAAUUUUCCGCAAUGGGCGAAAGCCUGACGGAGCAAGACCGCGUGAGGGAGGAAGGCUCUUGGGUUGUAAACCUCUUUUCUUUGGGAAGAAGCUCUGACGGUACCAAAGGAAUCAGCAUCGGCUAACUCCGUGCCAGCAGCCGCGGUAAUACGGAGGAUGCAAGCGUUAUCCGGAAUCAUUGGGCGUAAAGCGUCCGCAGGUGGCAAUUCAAGUCUGCGGUCAAAGACAGUGGCUCAACUACUGAAAGGCCGUGGAAACUGAACAGCUAGAGACAGGUAGGGGUAGAGGGAAUUCCCGGUGUAGCGGUGAAAUGCGUAGAGAUCGGGAAGAACACCAGUGGCGAAAGCGCUCUGCUGGACCUUGU
rnacentral:rRNA from 1 species